CAGUCGACGAACUUCCGUUAAUUGAUUAUGACGUACUUGUACUGAUUGAGAUUUUAACACGAAGUGAGUGGCGAACGGGUGAGUAACACGUGGGUAACCUGCCCAGAAGUAGGGGAUAACACCUGGAAACAGAUGCUAAUACCGUAUAACAGAGAAAACCGCAUGGUUUUCUUUUAAAAGAUGGCUCUGCUAUCACUUCUGGAUGGACCCGCGGCGUAUUAGCUAGUUGGUGAGGUAAAGGCUCACCAAGGCAGUGAUACGUAGCCGACCUGAGAGGGUAAUCGGCCACAUUGGGACUGAGACACGGCCCAGACUCCUACGGGAGGCAGCAGUAGGGAAUCUUCCACAAUGGACGCAAGUCUGAUGGAGCAACGCCGCGUGAGUGAAGAAGGGUUUCGGCUCGUAAAGCUCUGUUGUUAAAGAAGAACGUGGGUAAGAGUAACUGUUUACCCAGUGACGGUAUUUAACCAGAAAGCCACGGCUAACUACGUGCCAGCAGCCGCGGUAAUACGUAGGUGGCAAGCGUUAUCCGGAUUUAUUGGGCGUAAAGCGAGCGCAGGCGGUCUUUUAAGUCUAAUGUGAAAGCCUUCGGCUCAACCGAAGAAGUGCAUUGGAAACUGGGAGACUUGAGUGCAGAAGAGGACAGUGGAACUCCAUGUGUAGCGGUGAAAUGCGUAGAUAUAUGGAAGAACACCAGUGGCGAAGGCGGCUGUCUGGUCUGCAACUGACGCUGAGGCUCGAAAGCAUGGGUAGCGAACAGGAUUAGAUACCCUGGUAGUCCAUGCCGUAAACGAUGAUUACUAAGUGUUGGAGGGUUUCCGCCCUUCAGUGCUGCAGCUAACGCAUUAAGUAAUCCGCCUGGGGAGUACGACCGCAAGGUUGAAACUCAAAAGAAUUGACGGGGGCCCGCACAAGCGGUGGAGCAUGUGGUUUAAUUCGAAGCUACGCGAAGAACCUUACCAGGUCUUGACAUCUUCUGACAGUCUAAGAGAUUAGAGGUUCCCUUCGGGGACAGAAUGACAGGUGGUGCAUGGUUGUCGUCAGCUCGUGUCGUGAGAUGUUGGGUUAAGUCCCGCAACGAGCGCAACCCUUAUUACUAGUUGCCAGCAUUAAGUUGGGCACUCUAGUGAGACUGCCGGUGACAAACCGGAGGAAGGUGGGGACGACGUCAAAUCAUCAUGCCCCUUAUGACCUGGGCUACACACGUGCUACAAUGGAUGGUACAACGAGUCGCGAGACCGCGAGGUUAAGCUAAUCUCUUAAAACCAUUCUCAGUUCGGACUGUAGGCUGCAACUCGCCUACACGAAGUCGGAAUCGCUAGUAAUCGCGGAUCAGCAUGCCGCGGUGAAUACGUUCCCGGGCCUUGUACACACCGCCCGUCACACCAUGAGAGUUUGUAACACCCAAAGCCGGU
rnacentral:rRNA from 1 species